AUCCCAGCGCUGGAGUCGGCCUCCGAGAAGAGCAGGGCUGCAGCUCCUCACUGCGUCAGGCGGAGAGCCCUGCCCGUGCAGGCGGCGCCGGGCAGCUCUGCCAGGCCCGGGGGGCUCCUAGCGGAUCGGUGCGGACCCGCCAGGCACGGCUCGGUUCGGCUCGGCUCGGCGGGGACCCAGGCGAGGAGCGCGAGGAGGAGCAGUUCGGUUCGGCCUAGCGCGGUCCGGUCCGGUUUGGUUCGCACUGUGAUUCAUGACAUCCCAAGGUGUCCCCAAAACCCAGCAAGUCUUUUGUGCAGCCCUGCAGGGAUGUGGCAGCGGAGAUGGAGAAGGUGGGCGCAGUAAAGAAAUGUCACUCCUUGCAGUUUAAUAGCAACAACAACAACAAUGCGGCCAAAAAUCUGAAGUGUGAAGUAAUAGAACUGGGAGACAGCUGGCAAACAGGCAGGCCGUGGCCUCUCUCCAAACAGCAGCUGGCAACCUGGCAUGGUACACCACUGUGUUUGGGCACACACCCUGGGGAAGCACUUGCUGAAAUGCAGGAGGGAGCCCAGUGUGGUGGAGAGGCUGGGGCAGGAGGAGCAUGUCAGCUGCUCAGCAGCCCUGGUGUGGCCUUUAACCUGCUGGGGAGGUUGCAGGGCUUGGUUUCUGUGUGAGCUGGUUGCUCUCAGGUUCUCUUUUCCUCGUCCUUGUUCCCUUCCCUGCUACCAGCUGCGCUCAUUCUUAAAGCACAGGGGACCCUCUGUCUGUGAAUCAUAGGAUCAUAGAAUAUCUUGGGUUGGAAGGUACCCAUAAGGAUCAUCGAGUCUCUGGAGGAGGAAUAACCCAUUUCUUGCAUGCCUUGUGGGCUCGUGCCCUGAAGUCAGAGGAUCCUCUUGUAAUUGCUUGGAAUGAUUAAACGCGUGGGCAGGCUGCAGCCAGUGAGAUGAAAUAGGCAGGAGGACACUGUGGGUUCUGGCACCUUCCUGGGAGGAUGGAGGUAAGAGGUCCCAUCCCUUCUCUGUCUUUGCUGAAUGCUCUUGAGCAUCACUGAGCCAUUCCAUCUCCCUUCCUGGCUGCUGGAGGGAGAAGCACCUGCAAAGGACAAGGUUGCCACCAACGCUGUGCUCCAUUGCAGGUCCUCACCCAUGGAGCUCGGCAGAGAGGGAUGAUUUGCAAAAGGCUCUUUGCAUCCCCCAGCAUGCAGCUCAGCUACCUAGGGCUGAUUUGGGAGAGCUACCCCAAAUCUCCAGGCUCGCCCAUGGAUCGGGGUGGGCUUUAAGGCAGCACCAUCUUUACAGGCUGCCAGGCCAAGCAAAGGUGGAACAAGGGCAGGCAAUCAAACAACUUCAUGAACCAAGAUAAGCAAAGAAAAGAAGUAAGUGUAGGUACUUCUAAACAGGCCGCUUCAGUUUGUCUGGGAGGAAGUGACACCAGCCCAGCCUCUAGCCCUAUAUUUAGUAAAAAACCCAAACCAGACAUUGAUAAUGUUAUUAAAGGCAGGAAGGAGUAAAAGAUGUAGCCUUGCUCAGAUGCUGUGAUCAAGGUGUCUGGGGUCAGGACAGACAUGCUGGCUGUUCCCCUGUACCAGCAGAAGACUGACACAGCAGGUUUGAGAAGCCCUAACCCAGUUCAGCCAGCAGUAAAGGAAAAAGAGGGUGGUUAAUAAAGCAUUGGCUGCUUCUCCCGGUGAUGAGGAGGAGGCAUAGGAACAGAGCUCCACUGCUGCCUUUUGUAGCAUCACCUGCAAGGGAAAUGCUGGCCAACAGCAGACUGGGCAGCACUCCAUUUGUCUGUGCAGAAUAGGAAGGAUUCAGUUAGAGAAGGACGUCAGUGCUUCUGAACAGUAUGACCUUGGGCAAGCAACCUCCCUUACAAACCACAAGUACCCAAACCCUCCCUGUGAGUCCCACUAUAGCGUGGACCCAUUAUGAGAGCCAGCCUCCAUGCUGCCAUCCAGAAUGGGCCAUAAGUGAAAUUGAAGCUCCUCGUGGGAUGACCAGCUCCCCUUUCCCACCACAUCCCUGCAGCAGUUGGUAUCCCCAGCCCAGGUGAGGUGAGCAGAGCUGGAUUUCCAUCCCAUUGCUGUGCAGAGGAGCUGCCAUGCGGUUCCUCCGUGCACCAGUGCAGCUCUGGGUGACUUACCAUCUCAGGGAGAAUAUUUUUUGCAGGCUGAGAUGUUAUUUUAGCUGCUGUUGUCAAAUCCCAUCUAAAAAUCAUCAGACUAAUUAGAAAACAAAAAAUGACAUUUUACGGGCUGUUAGUGCUGUAAGUAGAGGAAGGCCUUCUGGUAUUUAAGGAAUGCUUGGAAAACAACACUGAUAUUUACAUCUGGGAAAGCAGGCUCGGGCAGAAGCUGUAUCUCAGAACAUUUGUGUUUCACGUACACAGCCUUGGCCAUGACAAAUAUUACUGCACAUCAUUACCCUGAUUUUUCAGGGUGUUAAUAUCUCAUCCAUUGCAAAUUGUGGCUGCUGUAGACUUGGCAGCUCGGAUGCGUUUUUAUGGAUUCCCAUUUGUUCUGAUUUCCAUUUUUGUCUUUGAUACUCUGGAAAAGUCAAUUUUAUGUCAGUGAAAGGUACCGCCAUUGAGGAUGGGGGGCUUCUGGCAGCUCAGGGCUCAUGAGGGCCCUGCUCCAGUAGUGCUCACUGCAUUGCAUUGCCCUGCCCUGCAUCCCCACAUAACAGAUUCCAUACCUGUGGCUCUGGAUUCAGUGCAGCAAAGUCUGGGUGUCCUCCUAGGAUAUACAUCCCACCAGCACUGAAAUCUGUGAUGGUUUCCUUUGGGCUCUCUGGGAUGUGAUGUAGUGCUGAUUAAAUGGCAUCUUACACCUGAAGAACUCCAAGUCAACAGAGGGAAUGAUCCACAACAAAUAACUUGUUUAAACUGUGGUGUGUUUUUCUUUUUCCUCCCUCUCAUGUAUGCAUUGUCCAUGAAAAAAAUGAGAAAUUCUCCAAUGUGUGUGCUUGGUGUUACUCACACAUCUCCUAGGUGAAUAACUCUUGGCUUGUAGACACUACUGAUGCAAAGAAAAGAUUUCUCUCUGCCCUUUUGGUUUAUGCAGAGACCUCAGCACUGACAUCAUGACUCUUUGCUUUCAUGUGUGGCUGCUCAUCUGGGGGCCUCAUUUAGGAUGCUAAAGGUGUGUUGUUGGUACCUCAGGCUUAGCCUUCUGUGGGAUGGUGAUGGAGGCAAGGCAGCCCUGGUCUGAAGGGUUUCACAGCAAAAAGCAUUCCUUUGUUGCUGUGCUUCUCCUACACUCCUGGUGACCCUUUGCUUAAGGAGUUUUGCCUUGUCAUGCAUAAGGGACCUCAUCUAUCCCUUAAAAGGCAGAGCUGGUUCAAGCUCAUCAGUGGCUUCGGCCAAACCAAGAGAUGCUGCUCCAGGGCUGUCAUUGAGAUGAAGCUACUUGGCUUUGCCAGAGCCAUCCCUGAAGACAAACCCUAGCAAGAAAGGUUGACAAGGAGCACACGCCUGCCCUGGGGACACGUAGAUGCAGCAUGACUUUCUUUUUAUUUACAGAGCAUCAGAUUGCACGCUCCCCAAGAGCUCUGAUUCAUCCUUCCCCAGUAUUAGAACAAAUACUCUAAAAUCAGUCUACAGCAUGGGGACAGGCUUUAGCCAGUGCUUUGAAAGAGAGCAGGUAAACUUGUUACCCUCACUUUGCAUAGCAAAAAAAUGAUAUGCAUAAAGCUGCACAGAACAGCCCUGCAAAGCUCAAAGGAAACAAAUGGGCAACUUGCACGUUGAAUUUCAAUGGAACUUUGUGCCGCCAGGAUAAUAGCCAGUGAGACAGUGAAAUAUUGCAUAGAGAGACACUGGGCAGUAAAAACAAGUUGCUAAUGCGGUGGAAUAUCCCAUAAUAUUGCUUGGGGGAAUAUCAUAGGGCACAGUGUGGGGGUAUGUGGAGCACCCAGAGGGAUAACAGCCAUUCUGUGAGGUGUGCUUGGGCUUCACCUGAGUCCCAGCCCCAAAAGCCCUUCAUUUCUUCCAGCUGAAACCCCCCUACAGCUGGCUCCCACCUGCAUCACACAUCCCCUCUCCCAUUCCAGGCAAUCAGUCAUCACCCCACCCAGCCUCAGCUGUCCCUAAAGAAUGGCCAAGGAAAAUCAUCCACAGAUGGAGGAGGACUGCACAUAUUUGGAUAACUCACCUGAGGCUGGAGCAGAGCGAAUGAGCAUCCCAUUAAAGGGCUUAAACAGCAUCUUUCCCCCUAACUAAAUUCACUGCAGUAGCUCCAGCAAAGUAGACUUAGGGGAGGAGGAAGGAGAAGGGAGAAAGGCAAUGUGGGGAGAACUGGUGAUGCUCUGAUGUAAUGUGGGGGUGUAGGAUCGCCAUCACGUUCAUAUACAAUUCCCUGAGGCACCCUCAGCUUUUAUAGGCUGCUGAUGGCGGCAGCAGUAAAUGAAAGGACACCUUUGAGUGAGCACUCAUGUAUUAAACAGCUCAUAGGUUGUCCCCAUGCAAAAUAAUCAAUGUCUGUCUUUCAAGGCUCUGCAACUCCACAGCAGACACAGGGUGCUAAAUCCAGAAUGGGAGACCAUGCCAGAAUCUCCAAGCUGCAUUUUCAAGAUGUCUAUAGAAGGCACAGCCCAGGGGGAUGGUCUGAUUGCCUCUGGGAGACAGGCUGUGUUAGGGUCACUUGUGUGUCAGACUGAAGGGAGAAGGGGAAAAGGCAGAGAACUGCUUUAGUGUGUGGGUGAGGCAACAAGGCACGAUGGGUUAAGGCACAGCUGUUGGUACUUAAACUUCUCUGGCUCCAAAAUCUGUAAGCUGGGUGAAGCUUACAAACUAGAAAUCCGGCCGUGAAUCCAGAUAUCCACCUUACCAAAUUGAGGAUUAAUGACAUCAUCUCAGUUCCUCCCUUCUUUGAAGGCUGGAAAGAGCGAGAGGCAAACACGAAUAGUGGGGAGGCGGCUCAGUGAUGAGUCACUCGGUGCUGCUCCUUCCCCCAUAUCCCCACAGCAGGGAGCCCCAUUCUGUUGCCCUGGAUGGCCCUGGGCUGGCUGAGUACAGCCUGUAGAGAGGAACUCAGGACUCAGAGGCUUCAAACUGCAAGAGCAUCCCAUGGAGAGACACAGCCACACACUGACAACCACCAUCCAAGGUCGCGUCACCCCUCCUCUGAGACCCAGCCUCCCAUUAGGAAAGGGCAGAACCUGCUGCCCGUGCUGCUAGCAACACCAACAGACCCCAGGGAAAAAGGGGUUUUCUGCUCAGCAAAUGGGAGCUGGGAGGAUUUCUGCAGCCUCCCUUCCGAAUCUUGAUUUGCCUUGCUGAAUUAAAAGGCAGUGUGGGCUGAAAAUGAUGUUAGAAGGAAAAAGGAGACGGAAAAGAAAAUCACGCUGAGCGUAUUGUUCUGGAUAAAUAAGACAUAGGCGUGUUGCUGAAGGUAGCUCAACCCAUCCCACAAAUGGUUGUCUCCUGCCAGGAGAUGUGACAGAAAUAAUUACUUGGGCUAUACAUAAUUAUUGUGCUGCUUUGAGCGGCAGCCUGCCCUUGGCACAGGUAAAGGAGCUUUUACCUGAUAUUGGUAAAUGACAUCAACCAUUAGCCCCUUAACGUCCUGACCUGCUAAACAGGCAGGGAAGCAGUGGGCAGAGGCCCAAGGAGUGCUUUCAUUGCCAUUCCCAACUGUACCAGUGCUCAGGGGAGUAGUGCCCAAUACAUGGCUGCUCUGGGGCACUGCUGGGUGCCAACAGUGGGUUGUGGCCCUCAGUUACCAGGAUGGAGAGCACAGAGGUGGUGUAUGGAUGAAAAGUGGACAAAAUCACUUAUCAGUUCCAGGUGGAGGAAGCUCCAAGUUCCUCCCACAUCAGUCCAGCUGCUAUAAAGGGGCUUCUUGCACGGGUCACUUGGGGAAUCCUCCUUGGGAUAAAUGAAAUGUUUGUCAUUUAAUUCUCUCAAAGGAGGAAAUGAGUAUUACAACCAGCUGUCGAGUGCUCUGCAGCUAAAAUAUCAACAAACUAUGACAGACGCAAGAUGGAAAAAGCCUCUGAGGUUUCCUUUUAUUGGCUGGGAUGUCUCUGUUUUUUUCUAUCUUAUUAUCUUUCAAGCUAAACCUACAUGAAAUGUACAACCAGGAAACUGAAUAGCACCACUGGCAAAGGCCGUCCUGUCCCCAGAGAGCUGAGAGUGACAAAUACCUGAGAAGACCAAUGGCUUUGGCACAGUGGGAUGGAACCAACCCGAGUGUUUGGUCUCAGCUCACAGAGUCCAUUGAGGCAGAGCUGACAGAGACCAGAAACUCCUGCACCUCCGAGAGGUUUAUCUGGCAGUAAUCUAAUGACUGGGUCACGUGGAGCCGGGUCAUAGAUUUAUAAUGGGGUACUUGAAGAUCACAGGCUAUGGAAAUUAUUGCUGUGCUGGCUGGAAUACAUUAUGCAAAGCAAUGCGUUAUCUGGAAGCCUGCACUGCACGCACACGCGCGCACACUUCGGUGAUCUAUCUAUCGCUCCCCAUGCAGAUGUUCUGCUGCAAAGACGUUCUAAUUAAUAUAUUGAAAAUACAUUUCCUGCCUUGUCUGCACCGGGGAUGAGCAGGGAAACAACAUCAAGUGGGGGAAAAGCCCCCACCGUGGAAGGAGCGAUAAAGAGAAAGGCAGGGACUUAAAAGCAGUUGGAAACAAGUGGGGUGUGAACUGGGGCCCAGCUCAUGCCUUGAGGGUGGUGGGGCUGAUGCUGGUGCUGCUCUCAUGAUGGAACCACAGGGCCAUAGCAGCAGCUGCAGAUCCUCAGUCCUCCUGCUGUCCCCCUGCCAGGAUAGCCCUUCUCUCCCCCCAUCCAUUUAUCAGUUGGACUCCAGGAUCCUUAUGGGUCUCUCACCCGUGACACUCUCCUAUACAGAGCAGUAAGAGACCACAACAUCUGCUCAAUGAGGUGCAGCCCAUGAGCUAUUCCCCUCUGUGAGGCUGUGGGCAUUAAAGCUGGCAUCAUCCAUCCCAUCACAAAGGGACAGCUUACAGUAGCUGCAGAGACCCACAAAAGGAUGGGAUAGGAGAUGAGCAAGGCACAGACCCAACAGUGGGACACAGCCGGGCUCCUCCAUCCCAAUCCAUAGGGACAGUGAGAACCAGAACACCCCAGUGAACAUUAUUAGCCAUGGGGACUUCUAGCUUCAUAUAGGGAAAAGCCCAGAUCAAUCCCCCAGAGAAGAAGAGAUGUGAAAUUAGCCUUGCCAGCUGGGGAGCGCUUUUAAAUUGCAGCAGAAGUGGUUGAGAGAUAGCUCUGCUCUCCGCAGGAACUUCUCCCCAUCCUUGGGAUUUAAGCCUGUUAAUAGUGGAGUAUGAUGAUAUUAUCUGUUUGUAUUGCACUUUUUAUCACAGACGGCUCCCAGGGUGAUUUGCUAUCAUGCCCUCUGAGAGCUGCUGAAACAUAGGAGCUGCAGGAAGCAGCAGUGAUGAAGCCACCAUCUCAGUAGCAGCAGAGCAGGAGAAAUGGAGCAGAAGCCUUUUGCUGGGUGGGAAACACUGCACUCCUCAGCUUCCAGCUGCUUCCCAGAAGCUUUGGUGCUGGCAUCCAUUCUCCAGCUCUCAGCCUGGAACAAGGCUUAAAGUUCAACCCCCCAAGUAACCCCUCCAGAGACCUUGCGUCUACAGAAUGAGUUCAGGCCACCUCAGGGAGCAUCCCAUGGUUUGCCAGGUGGACCAGCACCAGCAGUGACAGCAUCUGCAGGCACCACCUGGACACCGAGCUGGGGAUGCACUGAGCAUCACCUAGUGAUGCACAAGGGCAGGACAAGCAUUUGUGUGCUCUCCUUCCAUCCAGGAUUGACUAUUGUUAGAAGCAUCUCCUUCAUAAGAGCUGAUGCUGUCCCCAGUUUGCUCACCUGGAUCCUGAGCCCGGACCUUCAGGAGCUGUGUGGGAGGAGACAGCUCUGUGCUGUGCAACAAACAUCAGCGGAGCUGCAAAGCGCUUCCACUCCCAGCUCCACCACCCCCUGAUUGACACCCUGUAAUAAAGAGAUUUACCACAUAAUUACUGUGAGUUUGGGAUGCGGCACCAUUCUUAUUUUUUCCUUUCUUUCUCUUUUUUUUUCCUUAUUUUAACCUAAUGACAGCUUUAAACAGCAGUUAAAGUAUGUGUUUAUAUUAAUGUCAUUAGUUAUUUUUGUGUAUUUAACCGAAAAAGCUUUUCUUCAGAGCGAUGGCAUGGUAAACAACAGCUCAGUUGUCUCCUAUAGACAUUGCUACCUCUACUUGUGCAUGAACUGUUUAAGUGAAUGGGAGGGGAGGACCUGAGCCUGGAUUGAUGUGUGUCUGUUGUGGCUCCACCAGCAAAGAUGUUAAGCUGAGCUUAGAAUAAAUGAGAGAUGGAGCCCGGCAUUGA